rnacentral:sRNA from 1 species
AAUUUGCGUUAGGGAUUGAAACGGCAUCCUUUUUUGAGGCACAAAAAAAACAUAUAGUGGAAAGCCUGAAAAUGC